AGAGCUCAAAUUUAAAAUCUGGCGUGCCUCUGGUCGUCCGAGUUGUAGUCUGGAGAAGCGUUUUCCGUGUUGGACCGUGUAUAAGUCUCUUGGAACAGGGCGUCAUAGAGGGUGAGAAUCCCGUCUUUGACACGGACUACCAAUGCUUUGUGAUGCGCUCUCAAAGAGUCGAGUUGUUUGGGAAUGCAGCUCAAAAUGGGUGGUAAAUUCCAUCUAAAGCUAAAUAUAGGCGAGAGACCGAUA
rnacentral:rRNA from 1 species